GAGAAAGCGGGCUUCGGCCCGUGAGUACAGCGGCGAACGGGUGAGGAACACGUGGGUAACCUGCCUGGGAGUGGGGGAUAACCUGGGGAAACCCGGGCUAAUACCGCAUACGUCCUUGGGGCCUUGGUCCUGAGGGGAAAGCUUGCCUCUGCGUGCAAGCUGGCGCUCCCAGAGGGGCCCGCGUCCGAUUAGCUUGUUGGUGAGGUAACGGCUCACCAAGGCGACAAUCGGUAGCCGGCCUGAGAGGGUGAUCGGCCACACUGGGACUGAGAUACGGCCCAGACUCCUACGGGAGGCAGCAGUGGGGAAUAUUGGACAAUGGGCGCAAGCCUGAUCCAGCAACGCCGCGUGGAGGAAGAAGGCCUUCGGGUCGUAAACUCCUGUCAGUUGGGACGAAAAGCCAUCGGAAAAUACCCGGUGGUCAUGACGGUACCAGCAGAGGAAGCCCCGGCUAACUCCGUGCCAGCAGCCGCGGUAAUACGGAGGGGGCUAGCGUUAUUCGGAAUUAUUGGGCGUAAAGGGCGCGUAGGCGGCUUGGUAGGUCAAAGGUGAAAUCCCUCGGCUCAACCGAGGAACUGCCUUUGAAACCGCCUCGCUUGAGGCUGGGAGAGGGCAGCGGAAUUCCCGGAGUAGCGGUGAAAUGCGUAGAUAUCGGGAGGAACACCAGUGGCGAAGGCGGCUGCCUGGACCAGUUCUGACGCUGAUGUGCGAAAGCGUGGGGAGCAAACAGGAUUAGAUACCCU
rnacentral:rRNA from 1 species